UGCCCCAGUAACGGCGAGUGAAGCGGCAACAGCUCAAAUUUGAAAUCUGGCCCUCGCGGUCCGAGUUGUAAUUUGUAGAGGAUGCUUUUGGUGCGGUGCCUUCCGAGUUCCCUGGAACGGGACGCCAUAGAGGGUGAGAGCCCCGUCUGGUUGGAUGCCAAACCUCUGUAAAGCUCCUUCGACGAGUCGAGUAGUUUGGGAAUGCUGCUCAAAAUGGGAGGUAUAUGUCUUCUAAAGCUAAAUACCGGCCAGAGACCGAUAGCGCACAAGUAGAGUGAUCGAAAGAUGAAAAGCACUUUGAAAAGAGGGUUAAAUAGUACGUGAAAUUGUUGAAAGGGAAGCGUUUGUGACCAGACUUGGGCUCGGUGAAUCAUCCGGCGUUCUCGCCGGUGCACUUCGCCGGUCCAGGCCAGCAUCGGUUCGCUCGCGGGGGAUAAAGGCGUCGGGAAUGUGGCUCCUCGGAGUGUUAUAGCCCUUCGCACAAUACCCUGCGGUGGACCGAGGUUCGCGCAUCUGCAAGGAUGCUGGCGUAAUGGUCAUCAACGACCCGUCUUGAAACACGGACCAAGGAGUCGUCUUCGUAUGCGAGUGUUCGGGUGUCAAACCCCUACGCGUAAUGAAAGUGAACGGAGGUGAGAGCUACGGCGCAUCAUCGACCGAUCCUGAUGUUCUCGGAUGGAUUUGAGUAAGAGCAUACGGGGCCGGACCCGAAAGAAGGUGAACUAUGCCUGUAUAGGGUGAAGCCAGAGGAAACUCUGGUGGAGGCUCGCAGCGGUUCUGACGUGCAAAUCGAUCGUCAAAUAUGGGCAUGGGGGCGAAAGACUAAUCGAACCUUCUAGUAGCUGGUUUCCGCCGAAGUUUCCCUCAGGAUAGCAGUGUUGAACUCAGUUUUAUGAGGUAAAGCGAAUGAUUAGGGACUCGGGGGCGCUAUUUAGCCUUCAUCCAUUCUCAAACUUUAAAUAUGUAAGAAGCCCUUGUUGCUUAAUGAACGUGGGC
rnacentral:rRNA from 1 species